rnacentral:misc_RNA from 1 species
CCUGUUCGAGCGUCAUUUGUACCCUCAAGCUUUGCUUGGUGUUGGGCGUUUGUCCUGCGGGACUCGCCUUAAAACAAUUGGCAGCCGGCACACUGGUUUGGAGCGCAGCACAAAUUGCGGUCCAGCCAUGAAUGUCGGCGUCCAUGAAGCCCUAUUUCACUUUUGACCUCGGAUCAGGUAGGGAUACCCGCUGAACUUAA